CGAAUAAACCUAUAAACUUUUAAUUAUAUAAAAUGACUAAAUUCUUUAUUACAUCACCAUUAGAACAAUUC